rnacentral:rRNA from 1 species
AGCGGGACAGUAGCCAUGCAGGCAAAUCCGUGUGGCAAUACGAAGGCGUGACGCGGACCGAAAUAAAGUAGGGAAGCAUGUGAGCCAUGUGCCAAGAAAAGCCGCUAUAGAUCAUAUCGUACCCGUACCGUAAACCGACACAGGUAGAUGAGGAGAGAAUCCUAAGGCCGACGGGAGAAGCAUUGUUAAGGAACUCGGCAAAAUGACCCCGUAACUUCGGGAGAAGGGGUGCCCACGCGAGUGGGCCGCAGAGAAUAGGCUCAAGCAACUGUUUAGCAAAAACACAGGUCUAUGCGAAACCGAAAGGUGAGGUAUAUGGGCUGACGCCUGCCCGGUGCUGGAAGGUUAAGAGGAGGAGUCAGGCAACGAAGCUCCGAAUUUAAGCCCCAGUAAACGGCGGCCGUAACAAUAACGGUCCUAAGGUAGCGAAAUUCCUUGUCGGGUAAGUUCCGACCCGCACGAAAGGCGUAAUGAUUUGAGCACUUCUCGACAAUGCACCCGGUGAAAUUGAAGUACCAGUGAAGAUGCUGGUUACCUGCGCCAGGACGGAAAGACCCCAUGGAGCUUUACUCCAGUUUGAUACUGGGAUUCGAUACUGAAUGUACAGGAUAGGUGGGAGGCUGAGAAGCGUGGACGCCAGUCUGCGGUGAGCCGCUGUUGGGAUACCACCCUUUGAGUAUUGGAUUUCUAACCUGCGCCCGUGACCCGGGCGGGGGACAAUGUCUGACGGGGAGUUUGACUGGGGCGGUCGCCUCCGAAAGGGUAUCGGAGGCGCUCAAAGGUUCCCUCAGAAUGGUUGGAAACCAUUCGCAGAGUGCAAAGGCAGAAGGGAGCUUGACUGUGACACCGACGGGUGGAGCAGGUACGAAAGUAGGACUUAGUGAUCCGGUGGUAUGAAAGUGGGAUUGCCAUCGCUCAACGGAUAAAAGCUACCCUGGGAUAACAGGCUUAUCACUCCCAAGAGUUCACAUCGACGGAGUGGUUUGGCACCUCGAUGUCGGCUCAUCGCAUCCUGGGGCUGUAGCAGGUCCCAAGGGUUGGGCUGUUCGCCCAUUAAAGCGGUACGCGAGCUGGGUUCAGAACGUCGUGAGACAGUUCGGUCCCUAUCCGGCGCAGGCGUAGGAUAUUUGAGAGGAGCUGUCCUUAGUACGAGAGGACCGGGAUGGACAGACCGCUGGUGUAUCUGUUGGUGACCAACACCAUGGCAGAGUAGCCAAGUCUGGCAGGGAUAAACGCUGAAGGCAUCUAAGCGUGAAGCCCCCCUCAAGAUGAGAUAUCCCAAUAAGUAAGACCCCUUAGAGAGUAUGAGGUAGAUAGGCUUAAGGUGUAAGCAUAGUAAUAUGUUCAGCUGAUAAGUACUAAUAGGUCGAGGGCUUAUC